rnacentral:miRNA from 1 species
GCAGGAGGUGUUAGAAAAGUUACCGCAGGGAUAACUGGCUUGUGGUGGCCAAGCGUUCAUAGCACGUUGUUUUUUGAUCCUUUGA